rnacentral:rRNA from 1 species
UACGUAGGUGGCAAGCGUUGUCCGGAAUCACUGGGCGUAAAGCGCGCGCAGGCGGCGAUCUACGUCUGGGGUGAAAGCCCGGAGCUCAACUCCGGGACUGCCUUGGAUACGGGAUCGCUUGAGAAUUGGAGAGGCAAGGGGAAUUCCACGUGUAGCGGUGAAAUGCGUAGAUAUGUGGAGGAACACCUGUGGCGAAGGCGCCUUGCUGGCCAAUUUUCUGACGCUGAGGCGCGAAAGCGUGGGGGAGCAAACAGG